rnacentral:rRNA from 1 species
CACUGGAACUGAGACACGGUCCAGACACCUACGGGUGGCAGCAGUCGAGAAUCAUUCGCAAUGGGGGAAACCCUGACGAUGCGACGCCGCGUGGAGGAUGAAGGCCUUAGGGUUGCAAACUCCUGUCAAGAGGGAAUAAGCAAGUGAAGGUACCUCUAGAGGAAGGGGCGGCUAAUUCCGUGCCAGCAGCCGCGGUAACACGGAAGCCCCGAGCGUUGUUCGGAUUCAUUGGGCGUAAAGGGUGCGUAUGCGGCGCGGAAAGUCCGGCGUGAAAGGCAGGGGCUCAACCUCUGGACCGCGUUGGAUACUUCCGUGCUUGAGGACUGGAGGGGAGACUGGAAUUCACGGUGUAGCAGUGAAAUGCGUAGAUAUCGUGAGGAAGACCGGUGGCGAAGGCGAGUCUCUGGACAGAUCCUGACGCUGAGGCACGAAGGCUGGGGGAGCGAACAGGAUUAGAUACCCUGGUAGUCCCAGCAGUAAACGAUGUGAGCUUGAUGUGGGGGGAUUCGACCCCUUCCGUGUCGAAGCUAACGCGAUAAGCUCACCGCCUGAGGAGUACGGCCGCAAGGCUAAAACUCAAAGAAAUUGACGGGGACCCGCACAAGCGGUGGAGUAUGUGGCUUAAUUCGAUGCAACGCGAAGAACCUUACCUGGCCUUGACAUGCAUUGUGUCGUCGGUGAAAGCCGGCUAGUCCUGGAAACAGGACGCUUUGCACAGGUGCUGCAUGGCUGUCGUCAGCUCGUGUCGUGAGAUGUUGGGUUAAGUCCCGCAACGAGCGCAACCCUUGUGGUCAGUUACUAACCGGCUUAGCCGGAGGACUCUGGCCAGACUGCCCUGUCAAACGGGGAGGAAGGUGGGGACGACGUCAAGUCAGUAUGGCCCUUAUGGCCAGGGCUGCACACGUACUACAAUGCCCGGUACAAUGUGAACCGAAACCGCGAGGUGGAGGAAAUCGCUCUUGAAAACCGGGCCCAGUUCGGAUUGGAGUCUGCAACUCGACUCCAUGAAGUCGGAAUCGCUAGUAAUGGCGUAUCAGCAACGACGCCGUGAAUACGUUCCCGGGUCUUGUACACACCGCCCGUCACAUCAUGGAAGUCUCCUGUACCCGAAGCACGUGCGCCA